AGUAUUAUAUUCAAAUAAAGAAAAUAAAUUGUAAAUUUAUCAUUGAAGAUUUUAAUUCUUCUAAUACUA
rnacentral:tRNA from 1 species